rnacentral:tRNA from 1 species
ACUAUUUUGGCAGAAAAGUGUAAUGAUUUUAGAAAUCAAUAAUAUAUAAUGAUUUCAAUUAUAUAGAUAGUA